AUUGAACGCUGGCGGAAUGCUUUACACAUGCAAGUCGAACGGCAGCACGGACUUCGGUCUGGUGGCGAGUGGCGAACGGGUGAGUAAUGUAUCGGAACGUGCCCAGUCGUGGGGGAUAACGUAGUGAAAAUUACGCUAAUACCGCAUACGAUCUAUGGAUGAAAGCGGGGGAUCGCAAGACCUCGCGCGAUUGGAGCGGCCGAUAUCAGAUUAGGUAGUUGGUGGGGUAAAGGCCCACCAAGCCAACGAUCUGUAGCUGGUCUGAGAGGACGACCAGCCACACUGGAACGGAGAGAAGGUCCAGACGCCUACGGGAGGCAGCAGUGGGGAAUUUUGGACAAUGGGCGAAAGCCUGAUCCAGCCAUUCCGCGUGCAGGAUGAAGGCCCUCGGGUUGUAAACUGCUUUUGUACAGAACGAAAAGGUUUCUACUAAUACUAGGAGCUCAUGACGGUACUGUAAGAAUAAGCACCGGCUAACUACGUGCCAGCCGCCGCAGUAA
rnacentral:rRNA from 1 species